UACGGAGGGAGCUAGCGUUGUUCGGAAUUACUGGGCGUAAAGCGCACGUAGGCGGCUUUGUAAGUUAGAGGUGAAAGCCCGGGGCUCAACUCCGGAACUGCCUUUAAGACUGCAUCGCUUGAAUCCAGGAGAGGUGAGUGGAAUUCCGAGUGUAGAGGUGAAAUUCGUAGAUAUUCGGAAGAACACCAGUGGCGAAGGCGGCUCAUCUGGAGCUGGUAUUGACGCGUGAGG
rnacentral:rRNA from 1 species